AAGGUGCCCCGCGCCAGCAUUGUGGUACUUAAUUAAUGCUGGACGGUUUUGCCUUCU
ensembl:miRNA mdo-mir-7381 mdo-mir-7381